rnacentral:ribozyme from 11 species
AAAACAAAAGAGAAAAAGACAGAUCACAGGAAGAAAAAGCGGACCUUUUCUGCAUUUUUUUUUUUACUCUUUGGAUCUCGUUUCUGUUUUCCCCUAUGGUCUCCUUCUUUGAGCUCUGUCGCAAGAGACCGGGAAAAGGCAAAAGAGG